AGUGAACGCUGGCGGUAGGCCUAACACAUGCAAGUCGAACGGCAGCACAGGAGAGCUUGCUCUCUGGGUGGCGAGUGGCGGACGGGUGAGGAAUACAUCGGAAUCUACUUUUUCGUGGGGGAUAACGUAGGGAAACUUACGCUAAUACCGCAUACGACCUACGGGUGAAAGCAGGGGAUCUUCGGACCUUGCGCGAUUGAAUGAGCCGAUGUCGGAUUAGCUAGUUGGCGGGGUAAAGGCCCACCAAGGCGACGAUCCGUAGCUGCUCUGAGGGGCUGAUCAGCCACACUGGAACUGAGACACGGUCCAGACUCCUACGGGAGGCAGCAGUGGGGAAUUGUGGACAAGGGGCGCAAGCCUGAUCCAGCCAUACCGCGUGGGUGAAGAAGGCCUUCGGGUUGUAAAGCCCUUUUGUUGGGAAAGAAAUCCAGCUGGUUAAUACCCUGUUGGGAUGACGGUACCCAAAGAAUAAGCACCGGCUAACUUCGUGCCAGCCGCCGCCGUAA
rnacentral:rRNA from 1 species